rnacentral:rRNA from 1 species
UGGUGGAGUGAUUUGUCUGGUUAAUUCCGUUAACGAACGAGACCUCGACCUACUAAAUAGUUCGACGAACCCCUCGGGGUUCGCACGGUACUUCUUAGAGGGACUAUCGGUGUCUAGCCGAUGGAAGUUCGAGGCAAUAACA